rnacentral:rRNA from 1 species
UACGUAGGGGGCAAGCGUUGUCCGGAUUUACUGGGCGUAAAGAGCGUGUAGGCGGCCACGCAGGUCCGUUGUGAAAACUGGAGGCUCAACCUCCAGCUGUCGACGGAAACCGUGUGGCUAGAGUCCGGAAGAGGAGAGUGGAAUUCCUGGUGUAGCGGUGAAAUGCGUAGAUAUCAGGAGGAACACCUGCGGUGUAGACGGCUUUCUGGACCAUUACUGACACUGAGACACGAAAGCGUGGGUAGCAAACAGG